GGGAGAUCGUGGAGAAGGUCAGCCUGGCCCCAGGGGACCCCCAGGGCCUCCAGGACCCCCAGGACCAGGACUUAGAUCUGUGAGUUGGUUCUGGCCCCUGUUAGAUCCUGUUUGAUGUAUACUUUGUUGAACAUGGCUGAUUUCACAUCAUGUGUUUCAGACCUUCGUGGACAUGGAGGGCUCAGGAUACCCUGAUCUUGAAUCCAUUCGGGGACUGCCAGGGCUACCGGGUCCCCCUGGUCCUCCCGGUCCCCCUGGUGUUGCUGGAUCCUCUACAGGCAGUGCAGCAUCAAGCUCUGGAGCAUUUGGACCAGCAGGAAAAGACGGGGCACCUGGUCAGCCUGGCUUGCCUGGUUUACCGGGUACUGAUGGCCUCCCAGGAGCUCCUGGUCCUCAGGGAGAAAAGGU
ensembl:lncRNA